AACGAGAUCGGGAUAACACCUGGAAACAGAUGCUAAUACCGGAUAACAACAGAUGAUGCCUAUCAACUGUUUAAAAGAUGGUUCUGCUAUCACUCUUGGAUGGACCUGCGGUGCAUUAGCUAGUUGGUAGGGUAACGGCCUACCAAGGCGAUGAUGCAUAGCCGAGUUGAGAGACUGAUCGGCCACAUUGGGACUGAGACACGGCCCAAACUCCUACGGGAGGCAGCAGUC
rnacentral:rRNA from 1 species